AGGAUCAUUACAGUAAUUAAAAGGAGGGGGGGGUUUGCCGCUGGCUUCUCUUUGAGGCAUGUGCGCACCCUUUGCCUUCUAUUCUCCACAUACACCUGUGCACCUAUGGCGAGCACCUCCCGUUUGGAGUCGUCCUGCCUCCCUGGUUCAAAGGGGGCGUGGGGCUGAGGUCUCCCUCUUUAUUUAUAACAUUACAGCCUGUCUUAACGCAUGUCUAAUGCUCUACGGAGUGAAAUGAAAUACAACUUUCAACAACGGAUCUCUUGGCUUUCGCAUCGAUGAAGGACGCCGCGAAAGUGCGAAACGUAAUGUGAAUUGCAGAAUUCAGUGAAUCAUCGAAUCUUUGAACGCAUCUUGCGCUCCUUGGUAUUCCGAGGAGCAUGCCUGUUUGAGUGUCGUGAACUCUAUCAAGUCUUACCUUCUUUCGGGGGGGUAAGGGUUGGAUUUGGACGUCUGCCGGUGGGGUUUUCAUAUCCUUUGGCUCGUCUUGAAAUGCAUCAGCUGGUCCACCCAAGCUUGGUUUAACAACGGUGUGAUAAGAAACGCAUUGUGACUAUAUGCGCCGUUGAAGCCGACUUUGAGGGCCCGCUUCUAAUCGUCUUCGGACAAUACUCCAUGUCAUCUGACCUCAAAUCAGGUAGGACUACCCGCUGAACUUAAGCAUAUCAAUAAGCGGAGGAAAAGAAACUAACAAGGAUUCCCCUAGUAACGGCGAGUGAAGCGGGAAGAGCUCAAAUU
rnacentral:rRNA from 1 species